rnacentral:rRNA from 1 species
AGCGAACGCUGGCGGCAGGCCUAACACAUGCAAGUCGAACGAACUCUUCGGAGUUAGUGGCGGACGAGUGAGUAACACGUGGGAACGUGCCUUUAGGUUCGGAAUAACUCAGGGAAACUUGUGCUAAUACCGAAUGUGCCCUUCGGGGGAAAGAUUUAUCGCCUUUAGAGCGGCCCGCGUCUGAUUAGCUAGUUGGUGAGGUAAAGGCUCACCAAGGCUACGAUCAGUAGCUGGUCUGAGAGGAUGACCAGCCACAUUGGGACUGAGACACGGCCCAAACUCCUACGGGAGGCAGCAGUGGGGAAUCUUGCGCAAUGGGCGAAAGCCUGACGCAGCCAUGCCGCGUGGAUGAUGAAGGUCGUAGGAUUGUAAAAUCCUUUCACCGGUGAAGAUAGUGACUGUAGCCGGAGAAGAAGCCCCGGCUAACUUCGUGCCAGCCGCCGCCGUAAAAC